AACGAUGGUUGAUUGCUAUCCGGAGGAGCGACGAAUCAAACCAAGGCAAGAUGUGGAAACCGUCACCUCACAGUGUUGUGUGUCAUUCCCACUUCAGACCGUCUGAUUUCAUUGCUGUAACUAGUUAUGGUGCUUGUUUUCCACAGAGAUGAGGCACAGAUGAUUCAAGAAUACAGGGUGUACACCUCUGAGGAAACAGAGAAAACCAGAUGCUGUACCAUCAAUCUUUCCCUGGACUGCAUCCGCCAACGCACUUGAGGCCGAUGGAGGCUUAAGGAAAUCCCGCAUUGAAAGACGUGAGAGCCAAAAGAGGACAUUUAAAGCAAUGGAUACAGAUUGUGAUAUUGAAUGUGAUAUCAGUGAGGUAGCUGGGGAGGAAAUAAUUGACAAUGUUGAGUUUGAUGACAUGAAUACCGACUUAAACAUUUGUUCCGCAGAUAGUGCAGAGGUUGAAUAUGAAAGUACAUCAGCUCAGACAGACAAAUUUCCAAUGCUUUCAAUACAAAGUAUUAUGUUUAAUGCUGCAGCAAUUUUGUUUUAUACAGGACUGUCAAACUAUACAGACUUCACCUUUGUACUUGCAAGUUUGGGUCCGUGUGCAUAUCACCUAAAUUAUUUGUACAGCAAAGUUGACAGUAUGACUAUCAGUGUGGAAAAUCAAUUGCUUUUAACACUUAUGAAACUGCGCCGACAUAAGACUAACUUUGAACUUGGUCUUCAUUUUGGAAUUUCAGAGAAAACUGUAUUAAAUGUAUGGAUCACCUGGGUAAAUUUUAUGUAUAGACAGUGGAGUGAGCUUGAUAACUGGCCAGAACGAGACUUAGUGCACUAUUUUUUUCCUUCUGAUUUCAAAUCCAAAUUUCCAUCCACACGAAUUAUCAUUGAUGGUACUGAAUGCCCUAUCCAGAAACCAAAACGCCCCAUAGCUCAGCAGUCUACCUACUCAACGUAUAAAAAUCGAAAUACUAUCAAAAUACUUGUUGGAUCCACACCAGGUGGUCUUGUGUCGUAUGUGUCUCCUGCGUAUGGUGGCUCCACAAGUGAUCGUCAAAUAGUAGAGCGUAGUGGUUUGACAGUGAUGUGUGACCCAGGAGAUAGUAUUAUGGCUGA